GGCCCGGCGUGGCGCCCCGCUCAGUAACACGUGGUGAACCUACCCUUCCGUGGGGGAUAACCUCGCGAAAGUGAGGCUAAUCCCCCAUAGCCCUACCGUACUGGAAUGUUGGUAGGGCGAAAGGCCUAGAGGGCAUGGGCCUCUAGACCGCGGAAGGAUGGCACUGCGGCCGAUUAGGUCGUAGGUAGUGUAAUGGACCACCUAGCCGACGAUCGGUACGGGCCGUUAGCGCGGUAGCCCGGAGUGGGCCACUGAAACAGCGGGCCCCGGCCUACGGGCUGCAGCAGGCGGGAAAACUGCACACUCCGCGCAAGCGGGAUGCGGUGAACCCGAGUGGAUCUCUGGAAGAGAUCCUUUUGCCGAGUGUAAACAGCUCGGCGAAUAAGGAGAGGGCAAGACUGGUGCCAGCCGCCGCGGUAACACCAGCUCUUCGAGUGGUAGGCGCGCUUACUGGGCCCAAAGCGUGCGUAGCGGGGCUGGUAAGCUCCAUG
rnacentral:rRNA from 1 species